rnacentral:rRNA from 1 species
GACGGAGGAUGCAAGCGUUAUCCGGAAUUAUUGGGCGUAAAGCGUCCGCAGGUGGCUGUUCAAGUCUGCUGUCAAAGCGCAGAGCUUAACUCUGUACAGGCGGUGGAAACUGAAGAGCUAGAGUAUGGUAGGGGUAGAGGGAAUUCCCGGUGUAGCGGUGAAAUGCGCAGAUAUCAGGAAGAACACCAAUGGCGAAAGCAGCUUUCUGGGACGGUACUGACGCUGAGACGCGAAAGCGUGGGUAGCAAACAGG